GACGAACGCUGGCGGCGUGCCUAAUACAUGCAAGUAGAACGCUGAAGGAGGAGCUUGCUUCUCCGGAUGAGUUGCGAACGGGUGAGUAACGCGUAGGUAACCUGCCUGGUAGCGGGGGAUAACUAUUGGAAACGAUAGCUAAUACCGCAUAAAAUUGAUUAUUGCAUGAUAGUCAAUUAAAAGGUGCAAAUGCAUCACUACCAGAUGGACCUGCGUUGUAUUAGCUAGUUGGUGAGGUAACGGCUCACCAAGGCAACGAUACAUAGCCGACCUGAGAGGGUGAUCGGCCACACUGGGACUGAGACACGGCCCAGACUCCUACGGGAGGCAGCAGUAGGGAAUCUUCGGCAAUGGACGGAAGUCUGACCGAGCAACGCCGCGUGAGUGAAGAAGGUUUUCGGAUCGUAAAGCUCUGUUGUAAGAGAAGAACGAGUGUGAGAGUGGAAAGUUCACACUGUGACGUAUCUACCAGAAAGGA
rnacentral:rRNA from 1 species